rnacentral:rRNA from 1 species
GAGCUCGUAGGUCGNUCGGUCACGUNUGCAGCGGAAACGCAACGCUNAACGUCGCGCGUGCAGUGAGUACGGUCUGACUAGAGUGCUGUAGGGGAGUCUGGAAUUCNUGGUGUACCGGUGAAAUGCGCAGAUAUCAGGAGGAACACCGCUGGCGAAGGCGGGACUCCGGGCUGUAUCUGACACUGAGGAGCGAAAGCAUGGGGAGCGAACAGGAUUAGAUACCCUGGUAGUCCAUGCCGUAAACGUUGGGCACUAGGUGUGGGGGACAUUCCACGUUCUCCGCGCCGUAGCUAACNCAUUAAGUGCCCCGCCUGGGGAGUACGGUCGCAAGGCUAAAACUCAAAGGAAUUGACGGGGGCCCGCACAAGCGGCGGAGCAUGCGGAUUAAUUCGAUGCAACGCGAAGAACCUUACCAAGGCUUGACAUACACCAGACCGUUCUGGAAACAGUUCCUCCCCUUUGGGGUUGGUGUACAGGUGGUGCAUGGUUGUCGUCAGCUCGUGUCGUGAGAUGUUGGGUUAAGUCCCGCAACGAGCGCAACCCUCGUUCUAUGUUGCCAGCACGUGAUGGUGGGAACUCAUAGGAGACUGCCGGGGUCAACUCGGAGGAAGGUGGGGAUGACGUCAAAUCAUCAUGCCCUUUAUGUCUUGGGCUUCACGCAUGCUACAAUGGCUGGUACAGAGAGAUGCGAGACCGCGAGGUUUUAGCGAAUCCCUUAAAGCCAGUCUCAGUUCGGAUCGUAGUCUGCAAUUCGACUACGUGAAGUCGGAGUCGCUAGUAAUCGCAGAU